rnacentral:tRNA from 1 species
GCCUGGGUGGCUGAGUUGGUUAAGCGUCUGACUUCAACUCAGGUCAUGAUUUUGCAGUUUGUGGGUUUGAGUCCCGUGUCAGGCU